GAUGAACGCUGGCGGCGUGCCUAAUACAUGCAAGUCGAGCGAACGGACGAGAAGCUUGCUUCUCUGAUGUUAGCGGCGGACGGGUGAGUAACACGUGGAUAACCUACCUAUAAGACUGGGAUAACUUCGGGAAACCGGAGCUAAUACCGGAUAAUAUUUUGAACCGCAUGGUUCAAAAGUGAAAGACGGUCUUGCUGUCACUUAUAGAUGGAUCCGCGCUGCAUUAGCUAGUUGGUAAGGUAACGGCUUACCAAGGCAACGAUGCAUAGCCGACCUGAGAGGGUGGUCGGCCACACUGGAACUGGAGCACGGUCCAGGCUCCUACGGGAAGCAGCAGUAGGGAAUCUUCCGGCAUGGGGGGAAGCCUGGCGGGACAACGCCGGGUGAGUGGAGGAAGUCUUCGGAUCGGAAAACUCUGUUAAUAGGGAAGAACCAAUGUGUAAAUAAAUGUGCACAUCUUGACGGUUCCUAAUCAGAAAGGCCCGGCUAACUACGUG
rnacentral:rRNA from 1 species